UACGGGGGGGGCAAGCGUUGUUCGGAAUUACUGGGCGUAAAGGGCUCGUAGGCGGCCAACUAAGUCAGACGUGAAAUCCCUCGGCUUAACCGGGGAACUGCGUCUGAUACUGGAUGGCUUGAGAUUGGGAGAGGGAUGCGGAAUUCCAGGUGUAGCGGUGAAAUGCGUAGAUAUCUGGAGGAACACCGGUGGCGAAGGCGGCUAUCUGGACCGACAUUGACGCUGAGGCGCGAAAGCGUGGGGAGCAAACAGG
rnacentral:rRNA from 1 species